rnacentral:rRNA from 1 species
UACGCAGGGUGCAAGGCGUUAAUCGGAAUUACUGGGCGUAAAGGGUGCGUAGGCGGGUCUUUAAGUCAGGGGUGAAAUCCUGGAGCUCAACUCCAGAACUGCCUUCGAUACUGGCAAUCUCGAGUCCGGAAGAGGUUGGUGGAACAGCUAGUGUAGAGGUGAAAUUCGUAGAUAUUAGCUAGAACACCAGUGGCGAAGGCGGCCAACUGGUCCGGU